UAGGAACAUAACGGUUUGUUCAUGUGUGUGUCCGUCCGUGUAUUUGUCCCCCCCACAAUGCAUGUUCAGAAAAAUAGCACCCCCAGAAUGCCGCAUGGGUUUUCCUAGUAGUUGUCCCAAAGGCAAGGAUAAAAGAGUAUUCCCCUAGCUAUCCCCGAGCCCAGCGUGCCUCCCCCCGUUUCCGUUCUCCGCACACGGUGGUCGACGCAGAACGGCUGAAGACUUGCGGACAUGGGAGUACAAAUCGAAACCAUCAAGCCGGGCGACGGACAGACGUUUCCCAAGAAGGGGCAACGCGUCGUGGUGCACUAUGUCGGAACGCUGUCGGACGGCAAAGUGUUUGACUCUUCGAGGGGUCGAGGAAAGCCAUUCAAGUUCAAGAUUGGACACCAGGAGGUCAUCCGUGGCUGGGAAGAAGGAGUCGCUCAGAUGAGCGUGGGUCAGCGGGCCAAGCUGAUCUGUUCGCCGGACUACGCGUACGGCAGCAAGGGUCACCCGGGGAUCAUACCCCCGAACGCAACACUUACUUUUGACGUGGAGUUGCUGGGUCUGGAGGCCUGAAACGUCCCGACGGCGUCGCGCCAUUCUGCUCAACUCGCCAAGGUGAUUAAGUCAAAUCCUAUCAUGGUAAUAUGAAGAAAAAUCCAGAUGACUCCCACAUAGGACCUGAUAUUAUCUUUCAUUAUCUUUCGCUCAUCCUUUUCAUCAGAAUAUGACUUCAUUUCACCUUUUUUAUUCAAGCAUACCUAGUUCAUCAAAUUCUUUGUGUUAGACAUGUUGUGUUUCCAUUUUUUUACUUCAAAAUUUAAGUUUUUUUUCUUUCAUGUCACUGAUAUUGUGUGUGUGUGUGUAUGUAUUUGGGUGGGGGGAUUAUAAAACGCAGUCGAUGUCAUUCCUUGUGGCUCUGCGGCCCGUCCUCAAUGAUCAACUUGACUAGCAGUUAUGACUUUUCAUCAGAAAAAAUAGUUUUGCCUAAGAGCCAUUUCUCAAUUUCAAGCGCGGCAAUGACAUAUUUUUUUGUGGGACGUGACACGAGGAUGUCGAACCAAGCACACGCCGCCGCCAACGACGCUUGUUUAUAUACGAGCACCAGGUGGUUUUCCGACACAACAGGACACUUUUGUCACGAUGGUUGCUUGUUACAAGAAAAAUUUAAUUGUGGGGAAUUGUUUUUUUUUUUUUUUUUUUGCCUCAAUAAACUUAGUUCGUUUGCUGCAAAUGGUUUCUUGCAUGAAAACGUUCACCCACGAGGCACCUUGCGGUUUGUGAUUGUGUUUAUUUGAAGUUGUGUGUUACAUUAUGUUCAAAAUAAAAGAGUUCAGUCGGA